rnacentral:rRNA from 1 species
GACAGAGGGGGGCAAGCGUUGCUCGGAAUCACUGGGCGUAAAGGGCGCGUAGGCGGGAUGGCAAGUCGGUCGUGAAAUCCUUCGGCUCAACCGAAGAACGUCGGCCGAUACUGCCGUUCUUGAGGGAUGCAGAGGAGAUUGGAAUUCCCGGUGUAGCGGUGAAAUGUGUAGAGAUCGGGAGGAACACCGGUGGCGAAGGCGGGUCUCUGGGCAUCUCCUGACGCUGAGGCGCGAAAGCGUGGGGAGCAAACGGG